AGCAGGCUGGAAAUGAGCAAAAACAGGGAAUUAAAGAGCACAUCUUUGAUGCUCCAGGUUAUCUAGAAGCAUUAAAGUCAUUAAACAGUUGAGCCAGUUGUGCAAGGUGACUCAACAUCCUUUGUGCCCAGAGGGAUCUGUGGGAGUCCCUCAGCAGCUCGGUGCUAGAGCUGGGAUCUGGCCCAGGUUUCCUGGCUGACAGGUGGCAGCAUCCCUCCCAGACCAGCCUUCACUGGUUUUGUCAGGCAAUUACUCCUCCCUACGUGUUUGGCACCACAGUAAGACAGGCACUGCCAAUGCUGUUUGGGAGAGGUGCUGUGGCUGUCUGAGGCUGGAGGAUCAGGAUUGAUCCCUGUGGGAAGGGAAUUUGCUCACACCUUGGACACCCAGGUGCUGCUGCGCGUCCCUGGGGAUCUCCAGAGCCACACUGGAAAUGCCUUUAUCCAUCUCCUGCUUGCCCAGGAAUUGUGAGAUUUUCACCAGACAGUUCAGGACGGGAGGGUUGUCUCCAUUUCUAUUGUUGGAGCCAGAGAAGUGAAACACAUUUCCAUUGGUGACUUAUUAACUGCUGUGCUGAUCAAAGGGACAAAACCAGCUUGGAUUGAUUCGCCGGGGCAGCGUUUUAACCAGGAGGGUUUAAGGCUACACAGAAGAUGUGGUCUGUGGGGAAAGCUGAUCUCGUAUUAAAUCAGCAGACAGGACUGAAUGCGGGGCUCAGCUCAGGUGUUAUGUGCCUGAAAGCCUGUCUGGGCUCCUUAUUUUUUCCAGCUGUGCUGGGGGAACCUAAUAAAGGUAUUGCUGUCCCUGCAGCCUUUCACCAAACUGCUCCCCCGCUGCUCUGCUGGGGCUGAUUUAUGGCAGCGGGGCCAAACGCGUGGCCUGAGAGCGGCGUGCCCUGCACAUGGUGAGACUGAGGGGCUCAGCUCCUGUCUGGGGCCUCCCUCUUUGCCCCGAGGGAUUUCCGGGAGAAAAACCACAGAGGAUGGGGAGAAGAUAAAUGAAAGAUCAAGCAGGCAAUAGCAGCUGUCUUGAAUCAGUCCCUGGCACAGCACCAGAGAGAUCAAGGGGUCAGUGUGAGAGUAGCCACUGGGCUGGUGGAAAAUGGUUCCUCCCUUUCCAGCAGCAUCCCCAGGUAGCACCAGCCCAGGGCUAGGGAGAUCAGGGCAGGUGAGAGGCCAAGUCAUUCAGUGGUCAAACCUCUCUCUGUCCUGCAGAGGAUCUGCAGUUUGGGCUUGGGGUUGGCACAUUCCAUCCACCCCUGGAUGUGCUCCUACAGCUUGUAGGGUCUGUGACCCCACAGUGCUGGCUCACACCCUUGGCUCGCUGAUUUGAUCCCCUCCAGUAAUAUUACUGUAAUUGCUGGACAAUGUUUUUAUGCCCAGUGGAGUGAUGGUUACUCCAUCAAAGGACCCUGCUGUUUUCCUGCCUGCACAGGGGAGGGGACAUUCCCUGGGGAAUGGAGAUGCUGGGUGCCACGGUGAUGGUUGCCAUGGCAAGGCCUGCCACCAGCCCCGCGGUCCCUGGGGACCAGAGCUGUCAGCAUGUGGCUGCAGGCAGUCCUGGGGACGUGGGCAGCCGGGUGAGAGCUGGAUGUGUGGGGGGAGCUGGACUUACCCAUGUAGCUCUUCUCACCUCCCAGACUGUCUGUGCCCGCUGGGAAGCAGCUCCUCACACAGGGACGUUUUGUACAGGACAGUCCAGGACAGGCAGCUCAAGCUGGGAGCAGCCUGGCUGGAAUGUGCUGAGCACCCAGCAUGAAGCACACACUGCCCACAGGCAGGUGAGCCUGGCAGGAGAUCAGCAGUGACCACAUUACCUCUGCCUGCAUCCUCAGGCCUUUGCCCUUUUCAAGGGAUGCUUGGACAACCCUUCCCAUUAGUUUUGCUCUGUUUCACCUGCAAGCAAACAGAUGCACUUCAUGGAUGAGAGCAGCCGGGUCUGAGCCCUUUUAGGUGCCAGGAGCUCCUUGUAUCCUCCAAAAAGUCAUACUCUGCUGCUUAAAAGCCAGUUUUUCCUCUAGCAGCAUCAGCAGCACGUUGCAGAGCCAGUGCAGGUGUGUCUUGGGGGAAAGAUAAGUGAAGGCUUGAAGACUUCAAAGACAUUUCUACAAACAUCACCUCCCACACCACCUCCCUCACAAUGCCUUGCGUCUCUCACCCAGACUUUUCUCAAUAAUCGCCAGUCAUGUGGAACGACACAAGAAGCAUGAGAGAGAAAUGAUAAACAGCUGUUUGAAAAGCAAGCAAUCACUCAUUAAAAGACACCCCUUGGAACAGUACGCCGGCCAGAGCUUUAUUUUCAACAGCCCGUACAACCAAAAACCAAGAGCAACAGCAAUGAUGUGUGUGACUGAUACAGUGCAGUACCCAAUCACGGCAUACAAAGUUUGCCAAUAAAUUAAGGAGUGAAAAAACAAACACAGUGCAUACCUAAAGAUCAUCAGUACAUAAGUGAAACACAGCCUAAGUAGAAGUAUUUGCAUAUCCUCUAGCUGUUUUAACAUUGCCCUUUCAAAGCUAACCAAACCAUUCUUGCUCUGUGCAGGCUAUCAUAAAAGCACUGGGCUAAAUCGUAGCUUCACCCCAGGGACAAUUCCCAAGAGGGGCAGGAAGGCAGGUCACACCCUGAGAAUCAACACUUGCCUUCCCGUGUACCCCUGGUGCAGCCAGGAGGUGUGGCAGCCACUCCUGGAUCACUGACACAGCUCCACGGCUCGGGCAGCACUGAGGACACUCUGCACUGGCUGUGUCUCCCCGUGGAAUGCUGCCCCUGUGCAGGAUUUGAGGGGGUACCUUAACUUGCACAUGGUGAGCAUCACUGAGUUACAGCCCAAGCUUAUUCCUGCUACUGCUUUAUCAUUGGUUUCAUCUGGACCUUAAACAUCCAUCUAUCAAUAAAUAAAAUCAUUGGUUUAGCACACAUAAUAAAAUUACACCUCCCACUGGUAACUGUUUGAGAAGUUCUCCCUGUUACCCCCUACACAAGCCUCAAGAAAAUGACUUUCUUUUCCCUCAGGCUCAGUAAGGUUUCAAGUAACAAUUUUCAGUACUGCUUGGACAAGAUACAGGCUUGGUUUGGAACCCUGAUACUGGUGACAGGGCCAAAACAUUUCCACACUUCUACACCCAACUGUAUCAAGUCCACGACUGUGCCAUUUUCACCUGCGAGCAGCAGAAGAGGGAACUAACAGUGCUUGCUGUUAUUUCCUCUCCAGGUGACUGAAACAGUCCUUUUACAAAGCCUAUCAACCUAAACCAGCUAAAAUGAAAAGCAAAAAUGUCACUCAAGUCAGAACCGAAGCCUGUGUGUAUCAAGAUUCACAUCCAGAGUUCUUAUCCACAGCCACUUGCUCUAACAAACCUCCUAUGAGGGCAGCCUUGGCUUCCUUCUCCUACAGGCCAGGACAGAACAGUCUGAGAUAAGCCAUAUCUUCCUCCAACUGAGUACUUAUAAGGCACUAAAAUUAAGCCACAACCAAAAAACACAAACCCAAAAGAAACCCAAAUAAACUGACCCACACAGAAAUUAAAAUUUGGCUAUAUAAAAUAGCAGCAAUGUUUGUUUGUUUGUUUUUUUUCUUUCAGUGGUCUACAAAGCCAGAACAUUGAUACUUUGGG